rnacentral:misc_RNA from 1 species
AACACCUCAACCUCUCUUUUUGACAAAAAAAGAGAGGGUGGACUUGAGCUAUCCCAACGACCUUCACCGGUAGGCGGGCGGCUUGAAAUGCAGGUGCAGCUGGACUUUUAUCUGAGCUAAAAGCAUAUCUAUUUAGUCCUCGUCAAACAGGAUUAUUACUAUUGCUGCAGCUAACAUAAAGGAUAAUUGUCCUCAUUGCUGACUGAUGCAGGAUUUUACGACACUUUAUGUGUUGUUCA